UAUGUAGGGUGCGAGCGUUAAUCGGAUUUACUGGGCGUAAAGCGUGCGCAGGCGGCCCGUUAAGACAGGUGUGAAAUCCCUGGGCUCAACCUAGGAAUUGCGCUUGUGACUGGCGGGCUCGAGUACGGUAGAGGGGGGUGGAAUUCCUGGUGUAGCAGUGAAAUGCGUAGAGAUCAGGAGGAACACCGAUGGCGAAGGCAGCCCCCUGGGCCUGUACUGACGCUCAUGCACGAAAGCGUGGGGAGCAAACAGG
rnacentral:rRNA from 1 species